UACGUAGGCAGCGAGCGUUGUUCGGAAUUACUGGGCGUAAAGGGCUCGUAGGCGGCCAACUAAGUCAGACGUGAAAUCCCUCGGCUUAACCGGGGAACUGCAUCUGAUACUGGAUGGCUUGAGAUUGGGAGAGGGAUGCGGAAUUCCAGGUGUAGCGGUGAAAUGCGUAGAUAUUGGGAGGAACACCAGUGGCGAAGGCGGCUCACUGGACCGGUACUGACGCUGAGGCGCGAAAGCGUGGGGAGCAAACGGG
rnacentral:rRNA from 1 species